GGGCGGAGCUCCACAGAGGUGACAGGUGAAGUUGUGUAGCCUAAUUUAUCACUGAUUUCAUGCACAACCCUCAUCAGCACCGUCACGUCACAACAGGUGUAAUAAUAUGGGUCUGGCUAACAUGCUAAAUGCUCAUAUGCUCAUGAUGGAGCCUCCGCCGGUGAUGUCUGAGUUCACUGAGGAACGUUUACCUUCAGUAAGGGGAGCGCAGUGGGACAGAGAGGCCGAGAGGAGGUCUGGAGCUGGUGCUAACCUAUGGACUGAGAAUGGAUGAGAAGUUGAGCAAAAUGUGGAGGACUUUGUGGUGCCAGAUUGACCUUCAGACUGGGCUCUUCCUGCAGCAGGAGGUGGAGUCUGGACUGACUUUGUAGCUUCCGAUGGAGAUUGAGUCUUCCAUGACUGGACUGGAAUGUAUGACGGGGGCUGAGACACAGAUUUCAGCCCCUCGGGCUACUCAUGUCUGAACAAUUACAGAGCAUGUUGUUUAUGCUUCAUACUUGUAAAUGCAUAUCAUGGGCUUGCAUCUGGCCAAAGGCUUUUGACACACAUCUUACAUCUUAUGCCUCUGUUUCUCCAUGUCUUAAUUCAAUCUCCACUGAAAAGAACAUAUAGUUCAUAGCUUCUUGCAGAAAAUUGGCCCUUUUUUUUAAUAAAACUUGGUAAAAACAAGGAGCGUUAAAUAUAAUUGAGCCAAUAUGACCAUAAAUUGAUGAUACUCCGCUGAAUCACAAAGUGAUGUAAAUCAUUCCAAAAGGACAACACUGUAUAUGGGAGAAAACACUUCAAAAGCAAUCAAAUCAACAUUGGCCUGGUUUCAGUCCAGGAAGUUUUAGCCAAGUGUGACUUCCUGGAGACCCACGCCACGCCCAAAACUGCCCAGCGAUGCUUUGUUCUCUGUGGACAGUGG